UACAGAGGUCCCAAGCGUUGUUCGGAUUCACUGGGCGUAAAGGGUGCGUAGGCGGUUGGGUAAGUUUGACGUGAAAUCUCCGGGCCUAACCCGGAAACUGCGUUGAAUACUAUCCGACUAGAGGAAUGGAGGGGAGACUGGAAUACUUGGUGUAGCAGUGAAAUGCGUAGAUAUCAAGUGGAACACCAGUGGCGAAGGCGAGUCUCUGGACAUUUCCUGACGCUGAGGCACGAAAGCCAGGGGAGCAAACGGG
rnacentral:rRNA from 1 species